CGCCAGUGUCCGGCAGCCUCGCCUCAGUCAGUGCGCCCCAGGGUGGCUGUGGCUACAAUGUAGCUGCCAUCACCAGUGUGUGAAUGGGUGGAUGACUGAAUGUGUAAAGCGCUUUGGGGUCCUUAGGGACUAGUAAAGCGCUAUACAAAUACAGGCCAUUUACCAUUUAAAAGUAACACGGAUGGGCCUGAGAUGUCUUCGCCUACAUCUUAUUUUCCACUCAGGCAGUGGACGGAGCAACAUCACCUAAACUGCAUCACUGCCCAAAAACCUGACUGUAGCCAUGUUUUGAUUGAUUCAUCGAUUAUUGGGACAUUAUACCUUUUAGAAAAGGUUAUGUUUCAAUAAUCUCCUGGGACCAUAAAUGGUAAAAAAAAAAAAGAUGGACAUAGCGUCACCAAGAAUUUCUGCUGUUGCCGUCUUGGCAUUUUGGUAUCCAGUGCAAUGAGAAGGAGGUGGAGUUGACUAUAAAAGCGCAUGUGAGCAUGUCCACCUUUCUUACACAUGCAGUGCUUAACAAAUUUACCAGACCACCAGUCAUAAAAAAGUCAACCAUAAUAUUCAACCACUAAAGCUUAAAUAACUGUAAUUUGGCAUAUUGUUAAAAAUUAAUUGCUUUGCUAUUUUUUUCUGAUUUUUUAAAAAUAAAACAGUAAAUAUUCUAAAAAAAUCCAAUCAUUAGGAUUUUGGUAAUCCUGAGUACUGAUAAUUUAGGGCAGCUGUGGCGUAAACCUUUCACUGGGAGGUGAUCUGAGAAAUUUGCUAAGCACUGUGGAAGGAGUCAAAUUUACAAAAUAGAUUUAAUGCUCUUUAGAACAUUAAAUCUAUUGCAGCAAAGUGUUUACAGAUCUCUCAGCAGGGGGCGCAUUUCCCCAGAGAUUACUAUGGGACCAGAAGUCUUUUAGGAACCACAGGUAUCGCCCCCUGGUGGCUUCUGUUCAGACCUGAGACACUUAGUCCAUCUUUUAUACUGUUGAUGGCUGGGACGUACCAUAAAAGAGUAAACAUGCAUGCUGCAGCUGUGUUUUGCAGCUUGCCCUAAUAUAUACAAACACUUUUGUAUAUAAAUGUUUUUCAGUAUAGAGAAGCUGAGAGUACUUGAUGAGUAUUUGAGUGUUCAUGAAUGACAGCCUGGGGUACGGUGAGACAUGUGGGUCAGAUAUGUAAAUAGAUUCUCUGUAGUCGCAAACCAUAAUAAUGAAACAUUAGUGUUUUGCCCAGAGGUCAGACACCCGUUUCUGAUGUCCUCAAAGUUCCUGGUUUCAGUACAGUGAUACAAAUACCUAAGGUACUAUGCAACACAAGCAUUCUCUGAGGCAGUGGGUGAGGUUAGGGAGUCAUUAUGGAGCAGCAGGGAUAGUACCAGAGGACCAUGCUCAUCACUCACGAGCCACAGAUCAUCUAGUUGAGUCUUUCAGCCGCCUCGUCCUCCAUAUAGAGUAAUGUAACCACCAGGAAGUUAAUUGUGGUCCAGCAGAUGAAUUUGUCUUCACAUCGAUGCAUCAAAGCACUUUUUUCUUACUGUUUUACUGUAAAUUCUAAGUGUUUCUUCUAUACUGUGUCAUAUUAUUAAUACUGUAUGUGAGGGCCUUCACUUGCCUUUCUCUGUAUCAGCAUGAUUUUCAGCUGAAAAUAAAAUGAAUGCUAAAUAUGCA
ensembl:lncRNA